rnacentral:rRNA from 1 species
CCUACGGGUGGCAGCAGUGAGGAAUAUUGGUCAAUGGACGAGAGUCUGAACCAGCCAAGUAGCGUGAAGGAUGACUGCCCUAUGGGUUGUAAACUUCUUUUAUAUGGGAAUAAAACGUUCCCCGUGUGGGAUUUUGUAUGUACCAUAUGAAUAAGGAUCGGCUGACUCCGUGCCAGCAGCCGCGGUAAUACGGAGGAUCCGAGCGUUAUCCGGAUUUAUUGGGUUUAAAGGGAGCGUAGGUGGAUUGUUAAGUCAGUUGUGAAAGUUUGCGGCUCAACCGUAAAAUUGCAGUUGAAACUGGCAGUCUUGAGUACAGUAGAGGUGGGCGGAAUUCGUGGUGUAGCGGUGAAAUGCUUAGAUAUCACGAAGAACUCCGAUUGCGAAGGCAGUUCACUGGACUGCAACUGACACUGAGGCUCGAAAGUGUGGGUAUCAAACAGGAUUAGAUACCCUGGUAGUC